rnacentral:rRNA from 1 species
UAGGGAAUCUUCCGCAAUGGACGCAAGUCUGACGGAGCAACGCCGCGGGAGUGAAGAAGGUUUUCGGAUCGUAAAACUCUGUUGUAAGAGAAGAACAAAUUGUAGAGUAACUGCUACAGUCUUGACGGUAUCUUACCAGAAAGCCACGGCUAACUACGUGCCAGCAGCCGCGGUAAUACGUAGGUGGCAAGCGUUGUCCGGAUUUAUUGGGCGUAAAGGGGGCGCAGGCUGCUUCUUAAGUCUGAUGUGAAAGCCCACGGCUUAACCGUGGAAGUGCAUUGGAAACUGGGAAGCUUGAGUACAGAAGAGGAAAGUGGAACUCCAUGUGUAGCGGUGGAAUGCGUAGAUAUAUGGGAGAAAACCAGGGGCGAAAGCGACUUUCUGGUCUGUCACUGACGCUGAGGUCCGAAAGCGUGGGUAGCAAACAGG